rnacentral:rRNA from 1 species
GACGAACGCUGGCGGCAUGCCUAACACAUGCAAGUCGAGCGAGUAGAUCCCUUCGGGGUGAAGCUAGCGGCGGACGGGUGAGUAACACGUGGGCAACCUGCCUCAUAGAGGGGAAUAGCCUUCCGAAAGGAAGAUUGAUACCGCAUAAGAUUGUAGCUUCGCAUGAAGCAGCAAUUAAAGGAGCAAUCCGCUAUGAGAUGGGCCCGCGGCGCAUUAGCUAGUUGGUGAGGUAACGGCUCACCAAGGCGACGAUGCGUAGCCGACCUGAGAGGGUGAUCGGCCACAUUGGGACUGAGACACGGCCCAGACUCCUACGGGAGGCAGCAGUGGGGAAUAUUGCACAAUGGGGGAAGCCCUGAUGCAGCAAUGCCGCGUGAGUGAUGACGGCCUUCGGGUUGUAAAGCUCUGUCUUCGGGGACGAUAAUGACGGUACCCGAGGAGGAAGCCACGGCUAACUACGUGCCAGCCGCCGCCGUAA